GGGUUGUGAGGUUAAGCGACUAAGCGUACACGGUGGAUGCCCUGGCAGUCAGAGGCGAUGAAGGACGUGCUAAUCUGCGAUAAGCGUCGGUAAGGUGAUAUGAACCGUUAUAACCGGCGAUUUCCGAAUGGGGAAACCCAGUGUGUUUCGACACACUAUCAUUAACUGAAUCCAUAGGUUAAUGAGGCGAACCGGGGGAACUGAAACAUCUAAGUACCCCGAGGAAAAGAAAUCAACCGAGAUUCCCCCAGUAGCGGCGAGCGAACGGGGAGCAGCCCAGAGCCUGAAUCAGUGUGUGUGUUAGUGGAAGCGUCUGGAAAGGCGUGCGAUACAGGGUGACAGCCCCGUACACAAAAAUGCACAUGCUGUGAGCUCGAUGAGUAGGGCGGGACACGUGGUAUCCUGUCUGAAUAUGGGGGGACCAUCCUCCAAGGCUAAAUACUCCUGACUGACCGAUAGUGAACCAGUACCGUGAGGGAAAGGCGAAAAGAACCCCGGCGAGGGGAGUGAAAAAGAACCUGAAACCGUGUACGUACAAGCAGUGGGAGCACGCUUAGGCGUGUGACUGCGUACCUUUUGUAUAAUGGGUCAGCGACUUAUAUUCUGUAGCAAGGUUAACCGAAUAGGGGAGCCGAAGGGAAACCGAGUCUUAACUGGGCGUUAAGUUGCAGGGUAUAGACCCGAAACCCGGUGAUCUAGCCAUGGGCAGGUUGAAGGUUGGGUAACACUAACUGGAGGACCGAACCGACUAAUGUUGAAAAAUUAGCGGAUGACUUGUGGCUGGGGGUGAAAGGCCAAUCAAACCGGGAGAUAGCUGGUUCUCCCCGAAAGCUAUUUAGGUAGCGCCUCGUGAAUUCAUCUCCGGGGGUAGAGCACUGUUUCGGCAAGGGGGUCAUCCCGACUUACCAACCCGAUGCAAACUGCGAAUACCGGAGAAUGUUAUCACGGGAGACACACGGCGGGUGCUAACGUCCGUCGUGAAGAGGGAAACAACCCAGACCGCCAGCUAAGGUCCCAAAGUCAUGGUUAAGUGGGAAACGAUGUGGGAAGGCCCAGACAGCCAGGAUGUUGGCUUAGAAGCAGCCAUCAUUUAAAGAAAGCGUAAUAGCUCACUGGUCGAGUCGGCCUGCGCGGAAGAUGUAACGGGGCUAAACCAUGCACCGAAGCUGCGGCAGCGACGCUGAUGCGUUGUUGGGUAGGGGAGCGUUCUGUAAGCCUGCGAAGGUGUGCUGUGAGGCAUGCUGGAGGUAUCAGAAGUGCGAAUGCUGACAUAAGUAACGAUAAAGCGGGUGAAAAGCCCGCUCGCCGGAAGACCAAGGGUUCCUGUCCAACGUUAAUCGGGGCAGGGUGAGUCGACCCCUAAGGCGAGGCCGAAAGGCGUAGUCGAUGGGAAACAGGUUAAUAUUCCUGUACUUGGUGUUACUGCGAAGGGGGGACGGAGAAGGCUAUGUUGGCCGGGCGACGGUUGUCCCGGUUUAAGCGUGUAGGCUGGUUUUCCAGGCAAAUCCGGAAAAUCAAGGCUGAGGCGUGAUGACGAGGCACUACGGUGCUGAAGCAACAAAUGCCCUGCUUCCAGGAAAAGCCUCUAAGCAUCAGGUAACAUCAAAUCGUACCCCAAACCGACACAGGUGGUCAGGUAGAGAAUACCAAGGCGCUUGAGAGAACUCGGGUGAAGGAACUAGGCAAAAUGGUGCCGUAACUUCGGGAGAAGGCACGCUGAUAUGUAGGUGAAGUCCCUUGCGGAUGGAGCUGAAAUCAGUCGAAGAUACCAGCUGGCUGCAACUGUUUAUUAAAAACACAGCACUGUGCAAACACGAAAGUGGACGUAUACGGUGUGACGCCUGCCCGGUGCCGGAAGGUUAAUUGAUGGGGUUAGCCGCAAGGCGAAGCUCUUGAUCGAAGCCCCGGUAAACGGCGGCCGUAACUAUAACGGUCCUAAGGUAGCGAAAUUCCUUGUCGGGUAAGUUCCGACCUGCACGAAUGGCGUAAUGAUGGCCAGGCUGUCUCCACCCGAGACUCAGUGAAAUUGAACUCGCUGUGAAGAUGCAGUGUACCCGCGGCAAGACGGAAAGACCCCGUGAACCUUUACUAUAGCUUGACACUGAACAUUGAGCCUUGAUGUGUAGGAUAGGUGGGAGGCUUUGAAGUGUGGACGCCAGUCUGCAUGGAGCCGACCUUGAAAUACCACCCUUUAAUGUUUGAUGUUCUAACGUUGACCCGUAAUCCGGGUUGCGGACAGUGUCUGGUGGGUAGUUUGACUGGGGCGGUCUCCUCCUAAAGAGUAACGGAGGAGCACGAAGGUUGGCUAAUCCUGGUCGGACAUCAGGAGGUUAGUGCAAUGGCAUAAGCCAGCUUGACUGCGAGCGUGACGGCGCGAGCAGGUGCGAAAGCAGGUCAUAGUGAUCCGGUGGUUCUGAAUGGAAGGGCCAUCGCUCAACGGAUAAAAGGUACUCCGGGGAUAACAGGCUGAUACCGCCCAAGAGUUCAUAUCGACGGCGGUGUUUGGCACCUCGAUGUCGGCUCAUCACAUCCUGGGGCUGAAGUAGGUCCCAAGGGUAUGGCUGUUCGCCAUUUAAAGUGGUACGCGAGCUGGGUUUAGAACGUCGUGAGACAGUUCGGUCCCUAUCUGCCGUGGGCGCUGGAGAACUGAGGGGGGCUGCUCCUAGUACGAGAGGACCGGAGUGGACGCAUCACUGGUGUUCGGGUUGUCAUGCCAAUGGCACUGCCCGGUAGCUAAAUGCGGAAGAGAUAAGUGCUGAAAGCAUCUAAGCACGAAACUUGCCCCGAGAUGAGUUCUCCCUGACUCCUUGAGAGUCCUGAAGGAACGUUGAAGACGACGACGUUGAUAGGCCGGGUGUGUAAGCGCAGCGAUGCGUUGAGCUAACCGGUACUAAUGAACCGUGAGGCUUAACCUUACAACGCCGAAGGUGUUU
rnacentral:rRNA from 1 species